rnacentral:rRNA from 1 species
AGUGAACGCUGGCGGCAGGCCUAACACAUGCAAGUCGAACGGCCGCACAAGAGAGCUUGCUCUCUGAGUGUCGAGUGGCGGACGGGUGUGGAAUGCAUCGGAAUCUGCUCAUUUGUUGGGGUUAACUCCGGGAAACCGGGCCUAAUACCGCAUAUGUCUUACAGCGGAAAGCAGGGUAUUUUCGGACCUUGCUCAUGUGGAUGAGCCGAUGCCGGAUUAGCUAGUUGGUAGGGUAAAGGCCUACCAAGGCAACGAUCCGUAGCUGGUCUGAGAGGAUGAUCAGCCACACUGGGACUGAGACACGGCCCAGACUCCUACGGGAGGCAGCAGUGGGGAAUAUUGGACAAUGGGCGCAAGCCUGAUCCAGCCAUGCCGCGUGUGUGAAGAAGGCCUUCGGGUUGUAAAGCACUUUUGUUGGGAAAGAAAAGCAGCCGGUUAAUACCCGGUUGUCAUGACGGUACCCAAAGAGUAAGCCCCGGCUAACUUCGUG